rnacentral:rRNA from 1 species
AUUGAACGCUGGCGGCAGGCCUAACACAUGCAAGUCGGGCGGUAACACAGGGAGCUUGCUCCUGGGUGACGAGCGGCGGACGGGUGAGUAAUGUCUGGGAAACUGCCUGAUGGAGGGGGAUAACUACUGGAAACGGUAGCUAAUACCGCAUAACGUCGCAAGACCAAAGAGGGGGACCUUCGGGCCUCUUGCCAUCAGAUGUGCCCAGAUGGGAUUAGCUAGUAGGUGGGGUAACGGCUUACCUAGGCGACGAUCCCUAGCUGGUCUGAGAGGAUGACCAGCCACACUGGAACUGAGACACGGUCCAGACUCCUACGGGAGGCAGCAGUGGGGAAUAUUGCACAAUGGGCGCAAGCCUGAUGCAGCCAUGCCGCGUGUAUGAAGAAGGCCUU